AUGAAGAUGAGGCUCCUCUGCCUGCUCGUGCUGCUGUUGCUAUGGACGGCAGUGGUGCGAGCAUCUGCAGGCACGCACGGAAGCCAGGCCGGGAACAGGAGUGCUCUUCCCUCCCUGGCCGGCUGCCCGAAGAGCUGUGGCAACCUCAGUUUCGACUACCCGUUCGGCAUAGGGCCGGGCUGCUUCCAGCCGCCACAGCAAGGCUUUGAACUCAUCUGCAAUAGAAGCACCCACGGUGCCUCGCAGCCCCCCAGACUCUUCCUGCGCGACGGCAUCACCGAGGUUGUCAAUGACAUCAGACCCGGCGACACAUCAGGUAUUGAUGUAUCGUUUUCCCAAUCCGUCUCCGUGAGACCUGAGGUGGAUGCAUACAACAUCUCCUGGAACCCUGGGAGAUCUCUCGGUAUCAAUUACAUAUAUUUAAACUUCACUGGUUGCGACUUCAACAUGUAUGUGCUCCAGCACGACACGAACAAGAUGGUGGGUCAGUGCAGUUCUACAUGCCCUGACGAAGAUAUCACAGAUACAGUGGCCAGGCAGGACUGCAACGGUACAGGAUGUUGCACUGCCGUAGGUUACUCUGAGUUGGGUGCCGGCUUGGACAUCAAGUUUGUCCGCCACAAGAUUGGAAAGCGGAAGUUCCAAUCGCAGAGUAACCGAAGCUCCAUAUGGGAUACAAUUAAUGUAGUAACCUCUGAUUACGCCUAUAUUUACUGGGCAAUCGCCGUUGAUGAAGAUUAUGCAUGUCUCAGUAACCAUAGUAGUGGGCAAUUCGAUUCAGCUAACGUCACUUAUUAUUGUUCCUGUGACCGUGGUUACCGAGGCAAUCCAUACAUAACCAAUGGCUGCUCGCGUGACAAAGGGUACCAUCGGAUACAACGGAAGACCAACUGCUCUAGAUAGUGUGGGGAAAUCAAUGUACCUUUCCCAUUUGGCCUAGAGGGCGAUUGUUCAGCAAGGAUGUCAUUUCAGCUCAAUUGCACAAAUCCGACAAUGUUUGCCCUCCAGUUUCCAAAUGAGUAUGAUACAGGAUACUCCAACACUUAUGUAAAGUAUAUAGAUAUCACAGAGGGGCUGAUGAAUGUUACAUACAGCUUAAAUGGCCAAGGGUACCUUUGGAUGCGAGUACCUGAUCCAGGCCUCUAUAUUGCCUCCGAGGGUGUAAUACGACAGCAGUGGGUCGUAGCCAAUUUAACAUGCCCUGAGGCACAGGAGAAUAGGACCGGAUAUGCAUGCGUCAGCAUGAAUAUCACAUGCUUGGGUGUCAACUCCAAACAAGAAUACGUCGGUUACCGUUGCAAAUGUGUGGCAGGCUUUGACGGGAAUCCAUAUAUCGCGAAUGGGUGCAAAGAUGUUGACGAGUGCAAGACACCAGGCACAUGUAAUGGGAUUUGUCAUAACACCGAAGGAAGUCACUAUUGCACCAAAUGUCCUAGAAAUACAGUGUAUGAUACUACAAUAAAGAUGUGUAUCGCCACUGGGAUUGGCGUUGGUUUUGGAGUUCUACUUCUCAUAUCAAUUCUAACAUUAUUCGCCCGUAGAUGGGAAAAAGACAUCAAGAAGAAACUGCGAAGAAAGCAUUUUCGGCAGAACCAAGGUCCGCUCCUUGAACAAUUGAUAUCGUCAGAUGAAAAUGCGAGUGAUAACACUAAGAUUUUCUCACUAUCAGAGUUAGAAAAGGCAACAAAUAAUUUUUAUCCCACACGUAUCGUUGGUCGUGGAGGGCAUGGCAUGGUUUAUAAAGGCAUCUUAUCCGACCAACGGGUAGUGGCCAUAAAGAAGUCUAAAGUCAUUGAGCAAGUUGAGAUAAGCCAGUUUAUCAAUGAGGUUGCAGUCCUCUCCCAGGUAAAUCACCGGAAUAUUGUGAAGCUCUUCGGUUGUUGUCUUGAGACAGAAGUCCCACUGCUAGUGUAUGACUUCAUCCCUAAUGGUUCAUUAUUUGGAAUCCUUCACGCCAGUACCACUAGCAGCUCUGUCUUGUCUUGGGAUGACUGUUUGAAAAUUGCUGCAGAAGCUGCUGGAGCACUCUAUUACCUCCACUCGGCUGCUUCAGUAUCAAUAUUUCAUCAUGAUGUGAAGUCCACUAACAUACUCUUAGAUGGAAAUUACACUGCAAAAGUAUCAGAUUUUGGCGCUUCAAGGUUGGUUCCUAUUGACCAAACUCAUGUUGUUACAAAUAUACAAGGCACAUUUGGAUACUUGGAUCCUGAAUAUUACCACACAGGUAUGUUGAAUGAGAAGAGUGAUGUCUAUAGUUUUGGUGUAGUACUUGUAGAGUUGCUGCUCAGAAAGAAGCCUAUUUUUACCAGUGACUCUGGGCUAAAGCAAAACUUGUCCAACUACUUCCUUUGGGAGAUGAGGGAGAAACCACUUGCAGAAAUAGUAGCUACUCAAGUUCUCCAGGAAGCGACAAAUGAAGAGAUUAAUGAUGUUGCCAAUCUUGCGGAGUCUUGCUUACAACUACGAGGUGAAGAGAGGCCUACGAUGAAACAAGUGGAGAUGAAAUUGCAGGAUGUGCGAUCUAAAAGGUUGAGAUCAUGUCCGGUUGAUGUAAAAAACGAGGACAUGCAACCCUUGUUAAGUGGACAAAGCCACGACACACGUUGGCUGUUGACUGCUCAAAGCGGUACAGUAGGCACCACUAAUUUAGCUUCUGAAAGGAACCAAAAUUACUACAGCUUGGAGCAAGAGUUCAUGGCAUCGGCCACACUCCCGCGCUAG
rnacentral:rRNA from 1 species